AAUGUUCCUACACCUGAUCCCUGCUUUCACUGCAUAUCACAAUGUCAUCUGCAAACAUCAUGGUCCAAGGGGAUUCCAGUCUUACCUCAUCUGCCAGCCUAUCCAUACCUGAAUUUCCACCGACGCCCAGACAGACCCGCACACCCUCAGUUGCAUACUCUUCCAAUCCUCAGCAGCCUCAGGGAGAUAAACUCGAUAAGACCAACAUUCCAGAAUCUACCCAUCAGAGAAACUCCUCACAACAAUACAGGUUACUGCCCAGGAUGGCGGGGAUGAAGGAAAAGGAGUUCCCUGAGGAAAAGCCCUUGCUCCCUGAGCAGCGAGGAACUGAUUCAGACAUGGAGAAAGGAGAAGAGACACCAACAGGUCAGCCAUGCUCUUCGAGCCAGAAGCGCUUUAACAACCCCCCUUCCAACAGUCGUCCUACACAUCGUUGGCACGUCAUUGCACGGCACUGGCUUCGCCAGACCCGCCGUCGGACCAGCGGGACCCUUCCGGAGAACUGUGAACAACUGAUGCCAGUAGGCGACUGGAAGGAACAUGAUGUUGAAACCCCUUAUGGGAUGCUGCAUGUGGUCAUCCGCGGGGCACCCAAAGGGAACAAGCCUGCUAUUCUCACCUAUCAUGAUGUGGGACUGAACCACAAGCUGUGCUUCAACUCUUUCUUCAAUAAUGAGGAUAUGCAGGAAAUCACCAAGCACUUUGUGGUUUGCCACAUUGACGCUCCAGGACAGCAGAUUGGAGCGUCACAGUUGCCACACGGGUAUCAGUAUCCCACUAUGGACCAGUUGGCUAGUAUGCUGUCCACUGUGGUUCAGCAUUUUGGAUUCAAAAGUAUUGUUGGGAUUGGCGUUGGAGCUGGAUCUUACAUCCUGGCCAAGUUUGCUCUGAUCUUCCCUGACCUUGUGGAGGGUUUGGUUCUACUAAACAUUGACCCCAAUGGCAAAGGCUGGAUUGACUGGGCUGCCACAAAGCUGUCAGGACUGACGAGCGCUCUGCCAGAUACUGUACUCCCACAUCUUUUUAGUCAGGAGGAGCUGAUGAACAAUACCGAGCUAGUGCAGAGAUACCGGCAACAGAUCAAUAACACCAUCAACCAGUUUAACCUGCAGCUUUUCUGGAACAUGUACAACAGUCGGAGGGACUUGGAGAUGAACCGCAGUGGGACUGUGCUGAAUGCUAAAACCCUGAAGUGUCCGGUUAUGUUGGUUGUGGGGGACAAUGCCCCUGCAGAGGAAGGAGUGGUCGAGUGCAACUCCAAGCUCGACCCAACCAACACCACAUUCCUAAAGAUGGCGGAUUCUGGUGGACUACCCCAGCUUACACAGCCUGGGAAGCUCACUGAAGCAUUCAAGUAUUUCCUUCAAGGAAUGGGCUACAUGCCUUCCGCCAGUAUGACUCGCCUCGCUCGCUCCCGGACCGCUUCCCUGACAAGCGCCAGCUCCAUGGAAGGGUCGCGCUCUCGUGCCUGCACUCACUCCGACAGCACCGAGGGAGUUGGGGGUGUCACCCACACUAUGGAGGUUUCCUGUUGAAGUGUGAAAUGAGGAAGAGAGAAGGGGGUGGAUGGUACAGAGGGAAGCCAUCGGGGGCAACAGUAAAGAAGCCCAUAUUAGGGCGAGACGCUGAGCUGGAGGAGAGGAGUUCAGGGAUGAUGGUGUUAAAAACAGAGCUCAAGGCCACAAACAGGAUCCUCACAUAGAUACCCUCGCUGUCGAGAAUUUCAAGGAUGAAAUGCAGACCUAAGUUGACGGCAUCAUCCACAGGCCUAUUAGCUUGAUAGGCAAACUGCAGUGGGUGCUGCUGGGGACCUGUGACGCUCUUGAGCUGCUCCAUUACAAAGCGUUCGAAGGACUUCAUGACCACAGAUGUCAAGGCAACAGGCCUGUGAUCAAUAAGACCUGAGACUGCUGCUUUUUGGGGGACCGGUAUAAUAGUGGAGCGUUUGAAGCAGGUUGGUACUUUACACAGUUCAAGAUCCCUGUUAAAGUACUUCAUGAAGACAGGAGCAAGUUGGUCUCCACAGACUUUGAGGUAGGAUGACACAAGGUCUGAGCCUGGUGCUUUGUUGAGCUUUUGUUGUUUAAAGAUCUGUCUGACAUCCUUUUCAUGGAUAUUAAACGGUGGAGCUUGUGGGGCGGCUUGGUGUGUACGUGGUGUGGAAGUGUCUAUUUCGAAUCUGCUGUAAAAGCUAUUUAAGUCGUCUGCUAGCCGUCGUCUUGUUUUCUACUGGGGGGAACGUUGCUUGUAAUUAAUGAGUGAUUGAAAUCCGUGCCAAACUGAUUUGGAUUUAUUAGUGCCAAGAUGUUUUAACUGCAUAGUCCAUCUUAAUUUAUUUAGUCUGCUGAUUUAUAGUGCGAUUGUAGAGGGCCUUAUCCCCACUACGAUAUGCAUGUAUAUCUAAUAAAUUGGUCCUCAUGUUUGGCGAGGCGACAACCUCGAAUCUCGAGAGCCUUACACACCGGAAGGCAGUUCGCAGUAUUUUUUUAUUCAAACAAUGCCUUGUAGGAGACCAUAUUAGCAAUACAUAGACAUGCAACAUCUGGUCUACUGGGCUGUAAUUCAGGAAUAAAAUAUUAGGGCACAUCUUGUUCAUGAAAAUACCAAGGUUGAACCUCUCCACUCCGGUUGAGGUAUCAAAUGAGUAGAAGAUCUCUUCCAUAUCCUGACUUAUAUAGCGUGUAGCAUAGAGGAUGCCACAGGCCAUGAAAGUGUUGGUAACCCCCUGUUUAUAGAUUGAGGUGUGCCAAGUUUGGCUGAGCAUAGGUGGAUCUCCUUCUUCCACCUUGGACAAAACCAGAUUACCGUAGUUUUGUGUGGUGCUGUAAAUGAGCCACACACCUGACUCAUCUGUUGCCAUGUCAAAGUCGGUGUACGGGUAGCAUUCAUCUAUAUGGCAAAAGUUUGCUUCGGGCAGGAAGCAGGGUACACCAUGUACACAUAGGGCACACAUCAGCACACAACCAUUCGCACACACAAUCACAGUGUUAGUCAAUUUUUUGUGUCCAAUGAAUGAAUGUUUUUGGGAUGUGGGAGGGAAUCAGAGUCCCUGGAGAAAACCAAUGCAGGCACGCGAACAUCAUGCAAACCAACACAGGCGGAGCUGGGUUUCGAACCACAGUCCUUAGAAUUGUAAGACAGACGCUCAAACCAGUACCACUACUGUUCUGCCUUAUUUUUUUAUUUAUUGUUAAUUUUGUUUGGAGGACACAGAGCAAUAAUCAUAUAAAGCUUCAUGAUUGCGCAGAAGAGAAUGAAGCCACCACGGUUGUAUUAACAUCACAUGUGAAUUCUGCAUUUGUAAAAGAGCCUGAAAAUGGUCACUUCCUCUUUCUGGUUUCAGUUCCAUAAAUCUUGGGGGUUUUAUUGGAUGUGAAAUCCAAGUUUACACAUUUUUUGUACAAGCAAUUGUCUCACAUCAUCCACCAUCAUCAUCAUUUACUUAGAAAGUAAAUAAUAAUGCUCAGGAGAUGUUUGAUUUAUUUGUUUAUUACUAAUAAUACUAUUUCAAAUAUUCCAUGCUGUCAUGCCCCUGGGAUCCUCCCCAGGCUGGGCGUGGUCAGCCAAUUAGUCGGCACACACCUGCACCCUGUUUCGGCUGAUUAUAGGACACGGGGGACAACUAGUUCGCCGCCAGGUCGUUGAUUCUCAAUGACCACGGACCGAAUAAAGGCUUUCUGUACUCUACCUGCUUGCCUCUGGAGUCAUGCAUUUGGGUCCGCCCUCGAGCCCCGGUCGUGACACAUGCACUUUUUAUGCUAUCUUUAUUCCCAUCUAUUUUAUUCAGUUUUUCCAAUUCAUGAGAUGAUUUUUUUAAAGCAUCUGUAGAUUAUUCUAUCUUUAUUCCCUGAUAUUUAAUUUCUUUUAAUUCCUUCUUUUCCAUCAUUGUAUUCCUAAAUAUGAUGUAGGCAGUUGAUCACUAAUGUCAUUCAUUAAUAUUCCAUUUACCAUUUUACUUUCCAUAUAAUUAAUAAAAACACAAUGGGAGGCACAAUGGAAUGUUAUUCUUGUUGGUUUAGCUACUGUUGGGAAAAGAUACAUUAUUUUUUAUGAAUUCCUUCUGAUUUAUUCUUAUUUAGAUUCAGCAAAUCAAUGUUAUAAUCCCCACAAAUAUAAAUGUUAUAGAUCUCUUGAUUGCAUUUUUUCAGAGUGUGAAUUUGAUCUUCCUAUAUUUUGGUUUACUAUACUAUACUAUACUAUAUCAUGGGGCAGCACUUUGGUGCAGCUGUCGAGCGUUGGGCUUACAGGGUUAUAGUUAUGCAACCUAAUUUUUAAAUUUUUUGACCUUGCCUUCUGCCACAUGUUUUUGUUCUUUUCCCCUUAUUGGACUUCUUACCUGUGCAUGACCUCUGCCUGGAAUUAAACCACCCUCGAAAAUCGUGUCCUGCAUUUGGGUCAUACCCCAUCUCCCAAUUUCAUGACAAUUGGAUAAUGUUGAAUAUUCAGUUGAAUUGAAUUGGGGGUUAUUAAACAGACCCUACACUCAAGUUUUAAUAAUGACAUAGACCCAUAGUGCCAUAAGUCAAUCAUUGAUGUAACAGUUAAAUAAGGCACACAUUCAACAAGCUACGAUUAACAUGAAAAAAAAAAUUACCAACAAAGAUUUUUUCUUUUUUACUGUGAUCAUUCAACUUUCCGUGUGGCAAUGAAUUAUAACUGCAUGGCUGUACCGUAAUCAAGCUAGUGGCUAUCUCAGAUUGGAUCGUUUGUACGCCUCACCCUGGCUCAUACAAAUUCCUUUCUUUCCGGGUCUAUAAAAACACGGCUGUCUUAUCAGGAUCUCUUUUGCUUUAAUGCAGAUACAUACUGACCAGAAUUGAAUGAAAGCAGAACACUGCAAUGCUGAUUUGAGCCUUUCACUCUUUAAACGUAUCCCUCACGAUUUAAGGCACAAAAACUCAAAACCUCCUAUAAAGUAAUUGCCCCCCCUGUUAAAUCACAAAGGCAGUGUGACUAACCACAAAUUUGGGAAGGACGCGUUCAAGUUCACAAGGCCCAGCCAAACCUGAUUACCACCAUACUUGUUGAAUCAACGAAUCACUUAAAUACCAUCUGCCAGACAACUUGAUGUAGGCUACAAGAUUUCAAGAGCCAAUGGAUUAUGCCAUGAUCCAAAGAAAUACAAGAAGUAAUGAGAAAAAAAGUGAUUGGCCUCCAUCAGUCUGGAAGAGGUUACAAGCCAUUUCCAAGGUUUUGGGGCUCCAGUGAACCACUGUCAGAGCCAUUAUCCACAAAUGGAGAAAACCGUGAAUAGUGGCAUACCAUCCCAGGAGUGGAAGACCAACUAAAAUUACUCCAAGAGUGUGACGCCGACUCAUCCAGGAGGUCACAAAAGAACCUUGAACAACAUCUAAAGACCUGCAACCCUCGAUGGCAUCAGUGACUCAACCAGAAGUAACACACUGACCAAAAAUGGUAUCGAUGGGAGACUUCCCAGGUGAAAACCUCUGCUGUUAGCAAAGAAUAUAAAGGCUAAUCUCACAUUUGCCAAAAAACAUUUGAUGAUCCUCAAGACUUUUGGAGAAACAUUCUGUGGACUUGUGAGUCAAAAACUGAACAUUUUGGAAGCUGUGCAACCCAUUACAUCUGGUGUUAAAAUGACGUAACAAUUGAUAUAAAGAAUAUUAUGCCAACAGUGAAGCACGGUAGUGGCAGAGUGAUGGUCUGGGGUUGCUUUUCUGCCUCAAGACCAGGACAAAUAGGUUUGUUUGACGGAACAGUGAAUUCUGCUGUGUACCAGAAAUUCCUGAAGGAGAACGUCCACCCAUCAGUUCGUCCCCUCAAACUCAAGUGCUCUUAGAUAAUGCUGCAGGUUAACCAUCCGAAACACACCAGCAAAUCCAGUUCUGAAUGGCUAAAAAAAAAAAGUUUUUGAAGUGGGCGGCACACAUUCGCCUCACAUUUCUGAGGACCCGGGUUCCAUCCCGGCCCCGCCUGUGUGGAGUUUGCUGUCAAUGGGCAGGGGGCAGAGUACACCAUGAACUAGUUGCCAUCCAAUCGCAGGGCACAUAGAGACAAACAACCGCACUCACAAUCACACCUGGGAGCAAUUUAGCGUGUCCAAUUAAUAUUCCAUGUUUUUGGGAUGUGGAAGGAAAUUGGAGUGCCCAGAGGAAACCCACGUAGGCACGGGGAGAACAUGCUAACUCCAAACAGGCUGGUGUGGGAUUGAACCCGAGACCUUUCCGGCUGAUCCACCGUGCCA